rnacentral:lncRNA from 1 species
AAUAAUCUGAAAAAAAAAUAAUUACUCGAUUGUUUAAAAAGAAUAAAAGGAGUAGAAUCUUUAAAAAAGAAAAGGGGCCAAAAAAAAGCAGCAACAACUUUUUUUUUAAAAAAAAAAAACAGACAAAGGAAGGCAAGAAUGUGACCUACAAAAAUGAAACCAGUGAAUAUCUGAACAUUGUCCACCAAAAGAAGGCUAGAAGUUGGGGC